GCUCCAGAUUAUCCCCCCUGGUGGGUUACUAAACAAUGUUCAGAAUCUCCGUCUUCUGGUUAAUCCUAAAAUUGCCAUGCUUCUACAGUUUGCUUCAUCAGUGGCCACGCACUGUGACAAGUGCAGCCCGAACUUCAGCUGAAAUGCACUGUUACCAGAACGACACGGACCACGGCUGGAUGUACUGGUACCAACAGCGACCUGGCCAAGGGUUACAGCUGGUCGGUACCUAUGCUAGAGCCAAUGCACCAGAUUACCAAACUGGGUUUACAGUCGGUUAUGAAAUCUCCAGACCGGUAGAUAAACACUGCAUCUUAAAAAUCACGAGCUUGAAACCUGAGGAUACCGCCACCUAUUUCUGUGCUACAGGUGCACAGUGAUACAAGCACAAUGGAUCACGAAGCAAAAUGUACAAGUGCAAAUUACUUCAGCUCAAGACCAUGUGUAUAUGCAUACGAUUUCAGGACUCACUGUGUACGGAUACUGAAUAUACGUGCCUGUAAAAUGGGGGUUAACUGCGAUGCCAGAAACACCGUAGCGUUCAUUUCCAUAAAUGGUGCUCCCUUCUUAGUAAAACUGGACAUUCUGAAAUGAUGAUAUUGAUAAUCAUUACGAUUACA